GGUGGGGCUUGCCCCUCUUGGUCUCUUGGAUCAGAAGAGGCAUGAGCUGGGCGGUGGGCAAGUGUGUCGGGAGAUCAGUGAGACCUGACUCUACACAGCAGAAGGCCUUCUGCAAGAAGUCUGUCCCUAAAGAAUCACUGAGCGUUGGGAUCAGAGACACUUCACCUACUGACGUUACUUCUUGAGUUUCAAACUUCAUAACGGAAGAGACAGGGUGUUGGCAUUGGGAAGCAGGAAGUAGAGGAAAGUCUGGAGACCAAGGAGAAGGAGUGCAUGCUGGGCAGUGGAGGCGCAGAACAGGGAGACUGGUGUCCCCUCCUACUGGGCCCUGGAGCCUGGACUUCAGAAAAAGACACUGCCGGGGCCCCUGUGUC